UUUGUUAACACGUUUACGCCUGUUUUUCAGUUGGUACGUUUUAACAAUGUGUACCGAAUUAUAGUAGACAAAAAUACCCUCAUUUAUCAUGAAUUAUAAGUUUUAAGGUCAAGGAUAUUUAAAUAAUUUUUAUUCUCAAAACUAAAAAAAACAUAAAAGAAACCCCCAAACCUUUACUCACCUCCCUCAUUCCUCUCAACCCUUUCUCUCUCAUAUCUCUCACUCAAACAUUUUCUCUCUGUCAUCCCUACUGUUGUCCCAAUUGAAAAAAAAUAAUCAAAAACCCUUUGUCAUCAGAGAUAUUUUUCUUUCAUCUCAACAUUUUCUCAGUCAUCACUCCAACAUUUUUUCUCUUAUCUCAACUCAAUUGAAGAUGGUGGUGGUAAUUUGAAUCAGAAAUAUUUUUUAAAAAUUAAAAAAGUUUACUCUUUUAUAAUCAUUUUAUAUUUAAUAUUGUGUGUAAAAUGAAUAUAAACUUUGUCACUUUAUGUUACUCUUUCCAAAUCUAAAAGGUAAAAAAUGAUUUUACUGCUUUUAUCUUGCAUAGUGGUUAAAGUUUAUUCUAAACGCUUGUAGAAGUUGAUUCAGUGAUAAAAAAGGGACAUAAGGAAAUUAAAGAAAUAGGUAUAGAAGAGCUCCCUAGAGUACAAUUCUUUCAAUUCUAGGUUGUAAUCUUACAUCAUGUAUAUCCCAUACCAAUAGAGAAAGGAAAAAGAAACACUUUGUGUAAAGCGAAAAGGACAAUAGAGGGAAAUAUCUUGUUCUUUAAAAAUAUAAUGAAAUNUGGUGUAGAUGUGUAAAUAAUGUAUGAAAAUUUAAUUGAUUUAUGAAGGUUUUAUUUACAUGAUUUAAUUUAAAAAUGAAAUUUAAUAAUAAUAAGAAGGGAAAAUAUAUAACACAUCCUUCAAAUGAACGAACAAAUUAAGAGCAACAAAUUACGAUGUCACGGGUUGUUGUAUGUGGCUGAGGGAGAGUAUGGAGACAAGAGAAAAACAAAUUUGAUAAGUGAGGAAGGUGGAUCAGGGUUAGACAAGGGUUUCUGAUUUUAUUUUUUUUUCAAUUGGGGCAACAGUAGGGUUGACAGAGGAAAUGUUGGAGUGAGAGAGAUGAAAGAGAAAGGGUUGAGAGGAAUGAAGGAGGUGAGUAAGGGUUUGGGUUUUUUUUUUUUAGUUUUGAGAAUAAAAAUUAUUUAAAUAUAUUUGACCUUAAAACUUAGAAUCCAUGAUAAAUGAGGGUAUUUUUGUCUAUUAUAAUACGAUACACAUUGUUAAAACGUACCAACUGAAAAAUAGGCAUACGCGUGUUAACAAACCCCUAUAACUUUAUUACAUUAAAUCUUUAAUGACGUAAAUUUAAGUC
rnacentral:lncRNA from 1 species